rnacentral:rRNA from 1 species
GUGGAUUAGAUACCCUGGUAGUCCACACGGUAAACGAUGAAUACUCGCUGUUGGCGAUACAAUGUCAGCGGCCAAGCGAAAGCAUUAAGUAUUCCACCUGGGGAGUACGCCGGCAACGGUGAAACUCAAAGGAAUUGACGGGGGCCCGCACAAGCGGAGGAACAUGUGGUUUAAUUCGAUGAUACGCGAGGAACCUUACCCGGGCUUAAAUUGCGCUGGACAGAUUGGGAGACCAAUCCUUCUUCGGACCAGUGUGAAGGUGCUGCACGGUUCUCGACAGCU